UAGUCAAUCAAGCCACACUCAGAUAGCUAGACCGAAUCCACAAUAUCUCAAGUCUAUGAAUCAUCCAUCACUAGUUGGCAGUCUAACUAUAUAUAAUCAGAUUGUCCUUUCUCAAGUUGUGGAAUGGCUUUGGCAGUUGUAGAUUUUGGUACAAUGUCGCUCGAUUGUGGCUUUGGAUUGCAGCGACUAUGUUGCGGCUAGUAGAUUUUUAUUGAGGUGCUCUUAUCUGGUGUAGUAAUUUUAGAAGUUGCUAUCUCGAAGGAUUUACUUGUUUACUUGCUAUCUAGAAG